AAGCAUAUCAAUAAGCG
rnacentral:rRNA from 1 species